CCCUUUAUCUUUCUCGCUCUCUUCUCUCCCUGGCGCACGAGCGCUGCGCUCCCAGGGCGCAUCGCCGCCGCUUCCUCCUCUCCCCCCCUUCCUUCCUUCCUCUCUUUCCCUGUUCAAACCCUAACUAUCCCUCGCCUCUCCAAUAGCCGCUGCUGCCGUGGAGAUGGCCGGUGCCAAGCACUGCGCAACUCCGGCGGCCCUGUUGGUCUCUCUGCUGUCUCACUUCAGCAUCUUCUUGCUGCUUUGGUUUACAUGGUAAGAUAUGUGAAAAUCUUGAUUGAUAUCUGGAUCUGCUACUUCCCUUGCUUUUCCUGGUGUUGA
rnacentral:lncRNA from 1 species